UACGGAGGAUCCAAGCGUUAUCCGAAUUUAUUGGGUUUAAAGGGUGCGUAGGUGGUUUAUUAAGUCAGGGGUGAAAGACGGCAGCUUAACUGUCGCAGUGCCUUUGAUACUGAUGAACUUGAAUAAACUAGAGGUAGGCGGAAUGUGACAAGUAGCGGUGAAAUGCAUAGAUAUGUCACAGAACACCAAUUGCGAAGGCAGCUUACUAUGGUUUGAUUGACACUGAGGCACGAAAGCGUGGGGAUCAAACAGG
rnacentral:rRNA from 1 species